GUUUCCGUAGCUCAGUUGGAUAGAGCGACCGCCUCCUAAGCGGUAGCUCGUUCGUUUCCUGGAGGG
rnacentral:tRNA from 1 species